rnacentral:rRNA from 1 species
CACGUAGGGCGCGAGCGUUGUCCGGAAUUAUUGGGCGUAAAGAGCUCGUAGGCGGCCUGUUGCGUCCGCUGUGAAAGCCCGGGGCUUAACCCCGGGUCGGCAGUGGAUACGGGCAGGCUAGAGGUAGGUAGGGGAGAAUGGAAUUCCCGGUGUAGCGGUGAAAUGCGCAGAUAUCGGAAGGAACGCCGGUGGCGAAAGCGAUCGACUGGACCUUUUCUGACGCUGAGGCGCGAAAGCCAGGGGAGCAAACGGG